rnacentral:tRNA from 1 species
UAUAUGUUGGUGUAAAAGCACCGUAGAUUUUGAUUCUUCAAGAGUUAGUGAAAUUCUAUCACAUAUAA